AUUUGAUUUAUAAUUGCUUUUCUCAAUAUAUAGCCUGGCGUUCUACCUGCCUGUAACGACUGCACUUGGGAACGCUGAGACACGAGGGUCUGAGAGGUCCGGGCCAGCCUACGAGCUAUCAUCCAGUAACUGAUGGAAACAGAUGCAGAGAGCCACAGCCAAGCACCAAGCCGAGCUCCAGGAGUCCAGUCGAAGAGAAGGAAGAGGGAUUAUAUGAGCAAGGGGCUUCAAGACCAUGAUGGGGAAACCUACAGAGACAACUGAACCAAGCUAGUGGGAACUCACGAAUUUUGGACGACAGCUGUGGAGCCUGCAUAGGACUGGACUGGGACCUCUGCAUAGGCAAGACAGUUGUGUAGCUUGGUCUAUUUGAGGGUCCCCUGACAGUAGAAAUAGGAUGUAUCCCUGGUGCAUGAACUGGCUUUUUGGAGCCCAUUGCCUAUGGUGGGACAUCUUACACAGCCUUGAUGCAGGGGGAGGGGCUUAGACCUGCCUCAACUGAAUGUACCAUGCUUUGCUGACUCCCCAUGGGAGGCCAUACCUUUUUGGAGGAGGGGAUGGGGGGGUGGUCUGGGGAGGGAAGGGGGCGAUCUGUGGUUGGUAUGUGGAAUGAAUAAAAUAUUUCUUAAUAAAAAAAAUGUGGAUGAGAGCCCCUUAGGGAUUUUGGUAUUCAAGACACCUCUGGACCCUUAGACCUUGUAGAAGCAGCUCAUAAGUCCUUGUGAAAGCAAGCACUUCCCUCCCUCUUGAAAUGUCCUUUAUUUGCUCUGAUUUUCUCUUCUAGCUGUGAAGAGAAAUGUGAAGAGAAUGGUAAUUAGGUUUAAAUCUUAGCACAAUCUGUGGGGACUUGCUGGGCCUGUUAAAGAGGGUAUUAUACACUUGAAGGAACUAAAAUCAGCUAGCAUGUGGUAUUGGGAAGUCAGAGUAUACUUUGGAUUAGGUUUUCAAAGUGUUCAGUUAGAGGGCUUUAUAACUUUAUUGACUUGUACUCUUUGGGAGCAGAUAUUUAACCCUAUUAUGGACUACAGGAAUGGGACAAACUCACUGCUGGCUUAGCUAUUCAAAGCCUGGAAAUGUGAGAUGAGCCAGCUUUGGACUCCUGGAGAAGACAGCUAUUUCCUGAUGAAGCAUGAUUGGCAUGCUCAUUUGUAAAUCCUAAUUGUUUUGUAAUAAGUGGUUUGGGUGGUCAUCUGCAAAUGUUUUUGUUUUUCUGACAUCCCCUUUUAAUCUCAUACAUUGAUAAGAAGACCACCAGAGUUUUGAAUAAUGGUGGUUAUUUUGUUCCUGACUUUGACGGCCAUGCCUCCAGUGUUGUUUCUAAUACUUUAAAGAUCUAUUUAUGUGUACACCAUAUGCAUUCAGGAUCCUGCUUAGGUCAGAAGAGGGUGUCAGAUCCCCCGGUACUGUGGUUUACAGGUUAUAAGCCACCAUGUGGGUGCUGGGAACCCAUCUCAGAUCCUCUGCAAGAGCGCCAAGUGAGCCACCUCUUCAGCCUGUUUCUAAUUUUUUAUUAUAUUUGCAAAAUUAAGGACAUUAUGUACACUGAGUUUUGUAAGCCAUUUUCUUGGCAUCUGGUGAUAUGUUUGCCCCUCAAUAUUUUAUUAAAAUUUAUGUUAAUUAUCUA